rnacentral:rRNA from 1 species
GACGAACGCUGGCGGCGUGCUUAACACAUGCAAGUCGAACGGAAAGGCCCUGCUUUUGUGGGGUGCUCGAGUGGCGAACGGGUGAGUAACACGUGAGUAACCUGCCCUUGACUUUGGGAUAACUUCAGGAAACUGGGGCUAAUACCGGAUAGGAGCUCCUGCUGCAUGGUGGGGGUUGGAAAGUUUCGGCGGUUGGGGAUGGACUCGCGGCUUAUCAGCUUGUUGGUGGGGUAGUGGCUUACCAAGGCUUUGACGGGUAGCCGGCCUGAGAGGGUGACCGGCCUCCUGGGGCCUGAGAUAGGCCGCAGCCUCCAAGGGGAGGCAGCGGGGGGAAGUUUGACACAGCGGGGGGGCGCGUGUGGCGAAAGCCCCGGGUGCGGAAGGCGGUCUUACGGGUUGAAAACCAUUUUCGCCGGAACCAAGGCGGGAGUGACGGUAAUGGAUAAGAAAGCCCCGGCUAACUACGUG